AGGAGUGUCGUGCGGUCUUCAUCUCAAUAUCUUUUUCCACAUCGUCGAGUCUAAUCGAUGAAACCGUCCCAUGCAUAGAUAUUGUUAUCCUGGUCAAGGAGCCCAUACCCCCGCUAUUGCACUGCGCACGCAUUGCGCAGGUUUUUGAUUAUUUAAGCUCUGCUUCUUUCUUCACCGUCUCCAGGUCUUCCAAUUGCAUGCCACAUUCCACGGCACAGUACCAACGUGUUUACGUAUGCCUAAGCGCAGUACGUUUGCGGUACACAACUAUAUGCGGAGUCGAAAUAUGGACGGCUCCCAAUUUACUCCAACAUUCUUACGUUUUGUUUAGC
rnacentral:sRNA from 1 species